CCUACGGGAGGCAGCAGUGGGGAAUUUUGGACAAUGGGCGCAAGCCUGAUCCAGCAAUGCCGCGUGAGUGAAGAAGGCCUUCGGGUUGUAAAGCUCUUUUGCCAGGGAAGAAACGGUCUACUCUAAUACAGUGGGCUAAUGACGGUACCUGAAGAAUAAGCACCGGCUAACUACGUGCCAGCAGCCGCGGUAAUACGUAGGGUGCAAGCGUUAAUCGGAAUUACUGGGCGUAAAGCGUGCGCAGGCGGUUAUAUAAGUCAGAUGUGAAAUCCCCGGGCUCAACCUGGGAACUGCAUUUGAGACUGUAUGGCUAGAGUGUGUCAGAGGGGGGUAGAAUUCCACGUGUAGCAGUGAAAUGCGUAGAUAUGUGGAGGAAUACCGAUGGCGAAGGCAGCCCCCUGGGAUAACACUGACGCUCAUGCACGAAAGCGUGGGGAGCAAACAGGAUUAGAUACCCUGGUAGUCCACGCCCUAAACGAUGUCUACUAGUUGUCGGGACUUAAUUGUCUUGGUAACGCAGCUAACGCGUGAAGUAGACCGCCUGGGGAGUACGGUCGCAAGAUUAAAACUCAAAAUGAAUUGACGG
rnacentral:rRNA from 1 species